rnacentral:rRNA from 1 species
AGUUUGAUCCUGGCUCAGGAUGAACGCUGGCGGUAUGCUUAAUACAUGCAAGUCGUACGAGGGCUUUUAGCCCUAGUGGCGGACGGGUGAGUAACACGUGAGAAUCUGCCCUUAGGAGGAGGAUAACAGCUGGAAACGGUUGCUAAUACUCCAUAUGCCGAGAGGUGAAAGGAUGUAUCUGCCUAAGGAGGAGCUCGCGUCUGAUUAGCUAGUUGGUAGGGUAAAGGCCUACCAAGGCGACGAUCAGUAGCUGGUUUGAGAGGAUGAUCAGCCACACUGGGACUGAGACACGGCCCAGACUCCUACGGGAGGCAGCAGUAGGGAAUUUUCCGCAAUGGGCGAAAGCCUGACGGAGCAAUACCGCGUGAGGGAUGACGGCCUGUGGGUUGUAAACCCCUUUUCUCAAGGAAGAAGUUCUGACGGUACUUGAGGAAUAAGCAUCGGCUAACUCUGUGCCAGCAGCCGCGGUAAUACAGAGGAUGCAAGCGUUAUCCGGAAUCACUGGGCAUAAAGCGUCUGUAGGUGGUUCGGUAAGUCUGCUGUUAAAGACUGGGGCUCAA